CGCCGCUUGCUAAUGCAGCACUUCUGCUCAGCCCCAUAAGUUUUAUUAAAUUCUUGAUACGAAGAAACUUUCUGGUAUGACAAGAAGAUUAAGCAUUACUGCUCAGCCCGGGAAGAAGUUCUUUUGAUUAUGAUUUUCCGAGGGAUUGAGCUUGAUUACAUUACUUGACAUCUAUGCUUUAAUAUUUGAAUUUGUAGUUCAAAUAUCAAAUUUGUUGUUCC
rnacentral:lncRNA from 1 species